rnacentral:rRNA from 1 species
ACAUCCAGAGAAUUUAGCAGAGAUGCUUUUAGUGCCUUCGGGAACUCUGAGACAGGUGCUGCAUGGCUGUCGUCAGCUCGUGUUGUGAAAUGUUGGGUUAAGUCCCGNAACGAGCGCAACCCUUAUCCUUUGUUGCCAGCACGUAAUGGUGGGAACUCAAAGGAGACUGCCGGUGAUAAACCGGAGGAAGGUGGGGAUGACGUCAAGUCAUCAUGGCCCUUACGAGUAGGGCUACACACGUGCUACAAUGGCGCAUACAAAGAGAAGCGACCUCGCGAGAGCAAGCGGACCUCAUAAAGUGCGUCGUAGUCCGGAUUGGAGUCUGCAACUCGACUCCAUGAAGUCGGAAUCGCUAGUAAUCGUAAAUCAGAAUGUUACGGUGAAUACGUUCCCGGGCCCUGUACACACCGCCCGUCACACCAUGGGAGUGGGUUGCAAAAGAAGUAGAUAGCUUAACCUUCGGGAGGGCGUUUACCACUUUGUGAUUCAUGACUGGGGUGAAGUCGUAACAAGGUAGGCGUAGUGCU